rnacentral:lncRNA from 1 species
AAGUAGGGAAUUUUGUUCAAAUCAGGCUUGUAACCGUUUCACAAUUUUCAUUUUCGUCUUUUCGGUCGAUUUUAAUAUAUAAUAUCUAUUUAAAAAAAAGUAUUGGACUAUAGAGUUUUUUUGUUAGUAACACUGAAAAGGAAUGAAAUCGUGAAAACUUCAUAUUUAUGUUGAAUGGAAUAUUUAUGGAAACAUAUAAAGCUUUGACUAGUAACAAAAUAUUGGAUCUGAGAUCAAAUAAAUUUUAGAUAUUAUUAUUAUUAUUUAAUAUCAA